GAUGAACGCUGGCGGCGUGCCUAAUACAUGCAAGUCGAGCGAACAGACGAGGAGCUUGCUCCUCUGACGUUAGCGGCGGACGGGUGAGUAACACGUGGAUAACCUACCUAUAAGACUGGGAUAACUUCGGGAAACCGGAGCUAAUACCGGAUAAUAUAUUGAACCGCAUGGUUCAAUAGUGAAAGACGGUUUUGCUGUCACUUAUAGAUGGAUCCGCGCCGCAUUAGCUAGUUGGUAAGGUAACGGCUUACCAAGGCAACGAUGCGUAGCCGACCUGAGAGGGUGAUCGGCCACACUGGAACUGAGACACGGUCCAGACUCCGACGGGAGGCAGCAGUAGGGAAUCUUCCGCAAUGGGCGAAAGCUUGACGGAGCAACGCCGCGUGAGUGAUGAAGGUCUGCGGAUCGUAAAACUCUGUUAUUAGGGAAGAACAAAUGUGUAAGUAACUAUGCACGUCUUGACGGUACCUAAUCAGAAAGCCACGGCUAACUACGU
rnacentral:rRNA from 1 species